UUAUCAUUAUUUCAUUUAUGCACAACAGAUUAGACUGUUGGAAAAUAUUCCCUAACAUCGGCUACAACAAGUAACCUUGAAUGCCAAGAACCUCCCUAAAUAUCCUAGCUAUCCCUAGUAAUAUUGUUUUGUGGAGCUGCACUAAACUAGGUUU